UCCUGGUGUAGCGGUGAUAUGCGCAGAUAUCAGGAAGAACACCGAUGGCGAAGGCAGGUCUCUGGGCCAUUACUGACACUGAGAAGCGAAAGCAUGGGGAGCGAACAGGAUUAGAUACCCUGGUAGUCCAUGCCGUAAACGUUGGGCACUAGGUGUGGGGAACAUUCCACGUUUUCCGCGCCGUAGCUAACGCAUUAAGUGCCCCGCCUGGGGAGUACGGCCGCAAGGCUAAAACUCAAAGGAAUUGACGGGGGCCCGCACAAGCGGCGGAGCAUGCGGAUUAAUUCGAUGCAACGCGAAGAACCUUACCAAGGCUUGACAUGCACCGGACGACUCCAGAGAUGGGGUUUUCUUCGGACUGGUGCACAGGUGGUGCAUGGUUGUCGUCAGCUCGUGUCGUGAGAUGUUGGGUUAAGUCCCGCAACGAGCGCAACCCUCGUUCCAUGUUGCCAGCGCGUUAUGGCGGGGACUCAUGGGAGACUGCCGGGGUCAACUCGGAGGAAGGUGGGGACGACGUCAAAUCAUCAUGCCCCUUAUGUCUUGGGCUUCACGCAUGCUACAAUGGUCGGUACAAUGGGUUGCGAAACUGUGAGGUGGAGCGAAUCCCAAAAAGCCGGUCUCAGUUCGGAUUGGGGUCUGCAACUCGACCCCAUGAAGUCGGAGUCGCUAGUAAUCGCAGAUCAGCAACGCUGCGGUGAAUACGUUCCCGGGCCUUGUACACACCGCCCGUCAAGUCACGAAAGUCGGAACACCCGAAGCC
rnacentral:rRNA from 1 species